rnacentral:rRNA from 1 species
CGAACGAUGAACCACUUCGGUGGGGAUUAGUGGCGAACGGGUGAGUAACACGUGGGCAAUCUGCCCUGCACUCUGGGACAAGCCCUGGAAACGGGGUCUAAUACCGGAUACUGAUCCUCGCAGGCAUCUGCGAGGUUCGAAAGCUCCGGCGGUGCAGGAUGAGCCCGCGGCCUAUCAGCUAGUUGGUGAGGUAACGGCUCACCAAGGCGACGACGGGUAGCCGGCCUGAGAGGGCGACCGGCCACACUGGGACUGAGACACGGCCCAGACUCCUACGGGAGGCAGCAGUGGGGAAUAUUGCACAAUGGGCGAAAGCCUGAUGCAGCGACGCCGCGUGAGGGAUGACGGCCUUCGGGUUGUAAACCUCUUUCAGCAGGGAAGAAGCGAAAGUGACGGUACCUGCAGAAGAAGCGCCGGCUAACUACGUGCCAGCAGCCGCGGUAAUACGUAGGGCGCAAGCGUUGUCCGGAAUUAUUGGGCGUAAAGAGCUCGUAGGCGGCUUGUCACGUCGGUUGUGAAAGCCCGGGGCUUAACCCCGGGUCUGCAGUCGAUACGGGCAGGCUAGAGUUCGGUAGGGGAGAUCGGAAUUCCUGGUGUAGCGGUGAAAUGCGCAGAUAUCAGGAGGAACACCGGUGGCGAAGGCGGAUCUCUGGGCCGAUACUGACGCUGAGGAGCGAAAGCGUGGGGAGCGAACAGGAUUAGAUACCCUGGUAGUCCACGCCGUAAACGGUGGGCACUAGGUGUGGGCAACAUUCCACGUUGUCCGUGCCGCAGCUAACGCAUUAAGUGCCCCGCCUGGGGAGUAC